rnacentral:lncRNA from 1 species
UGAGAUGGCCCACUUCUUCUUCUCCAGUGAGGAAUUUCAGUAUGCCAAAUCACAGCUUCCUCUUGACCAGGGAUGGGUUGGGUUUGGGGUCUCUGGCCGGUCUCAGCUUCUCUUCCUUGGUCACAGGUUGCUGGGGGAGUGCUUGGCCCAUGCUUCUCCUUCAGCAGGGAUUCCAUUCUCUUCAUGCUUUCGUUCAACGCUGCCACUUGCUCUUGCAUCCCUUCCACUUUAUUGUUGAUCUCAUUGGUUCUUGCCCCCACGUUGUCUAACUCGAGCUUCAUGGCUGCCACUUCCUGGGCAUCUGCCUUCUCCUCCUGAGUCUUCGAUUUCGCCAUCAGGUCACAAGCAAGGUACGGAAUUUUACCUGGGCACUCGUCCCGAACCCUUCCUGCUCGUGGCCUGCUGCCGCCGCCUCUAGGUUGCGCCUCCAGAAGACGCACGGAUCUGCCUGGGUCGUGGGAUUUUACCACCGCAACGUUGUGCUACAGCAACCGCACCCCCGCUACAGACCUGCGUCUGAACUAGUCUACCGCCGCCUAUGCCUCCCCGAGCUCCACGCCGCUGCCAAGCUCCACCGAAGACCAACGGCUACUGAUACCAAUUGUCAGAUCCCACUGGAGAUCGACAAGGAAAAUGACUCCCGAUGUUGGAGCACUCGCUAUGAAUGGGGAAUUUUUGGUAGGAACCCUAGCUAAGUAGAUAAGAACGAGAUAAAAGUAGAGAUGAUAAUGUUUCAUUUCUUGCCCGAGCAGAGUGCUGGGUCACUUAUAUAGUCUUACAGAAUUACAGAGUUGGUGGCCUUCAGCCGUUGGAUCUAGGCUAGGGCUCUCAGCCGUUGGAUCUACAUAACUGGACCAAACGUUAUCUGCUAGACUGAUGAAUGGUUAAACUGAAGAAAUGUUCAGAUAGCAGGGUUGUGACAAUGCUCCCCAUGGAGAUCACACUUGUCCUCAAGUUGUGUUUUGUGGAAACCAGGAUCGGAUCGUUUGUUUGAAGAAUGCUGGGAACACUUGCUUGAUGAAGUUUGCAUCCUCCCAAGAUGUUUCAUUAGGUUCCAAGUUGGCCCAUCGGAUCAGCCACUGAGUGACCAAAACCCCUUUGCGUGGCAAGGAUCGUGUUUCCAAUACAGUGAUUAGCUAAGUUCUGAUCUUGCCAUCUUCUCCCACCAGUGGCAGUUCCUGUUCUGGGAUAGCAUGGAUGCCUUUAUGGCCCUUGAGCUGACUAACAUGGAAAACUGGGUGGAUUUGAAUAUGGGAUGGUAAUAGAAGUUUGUAUGAGGAGUUGCCUACUUUCUUCAAAAUUCGUAAAGGCCCAUAGAACUUGGUAGUGUGCUUGAUAGCUUGCCUCAAUCCGAAUGAUGCCAUUCUGUAGGGUUGCAUUUUGAGGUAUACCAUAUCCCCUUCUUGGAAUGAUCUUUCACUCCUGUUCCUGUCAGCAUAUUUUUUUCAUUCUUUGCUGGGCUUGUUGCAGAUUUUCCUUCAAGUGUGUUAUUGUCUUCUGUUUCUCUUCAAGUAAUUGUUGGGCUUCAGCAUCGGGAGGUCCUGGGACAGCCACUUCACUGAUCAUGGGUGGUUCAUACCCAUAUAACGCCUUGAAGGGGGUUUCUUUAGUAGAAGUGUGAUAGGAGGUGUUGUACCACCACUCCGCUAAUGACAACCAAUCAGCCCAUUUCUUUGGUUCCUUGAAUGUCAUGCAUCUCAGAUAUGGCUCGAGGCAUGGUUAACUCGCUCGGACUGACCUUCUGUUUGUGGGUGGUGAGCAGUGCUCAGUUUGAGUUGAAAAUCCAUAGAUUUGAAUACUGCUUGCCACAUGUUGCUUGUGAAGAUCCUAUCUCUGUCAGUUACAAUAGACACUGGUGGUCCAUGCAAUUUGAAGACAUUGUCGAUGAAAGCUUGGGCCACUGUCUGCACAUUGUAAGGGUGGGCUAAUGCAAUGAAAUGGGCGUACUUUGUAUAUCUAUCCACCACCACCAAAAUUACCUCUUUUCCCUUAGACUUAGGGAGCCCUUCCACAAAGUCCAUGGUUAUAUCAGUCCAUGCUUGGGUUGGGAGUGGUAGGGGAUCCAGUAGGCCAGGAUAUUGGCAAUGUUCUGACUUUGCUCUCUGGCAAAUAGCACACUCAGUAAUGAACUUGUGCACCUGCUUUUUGAGGCCAGGCCAAUAGAAGAUCCUUUUGAUCCUUUGGUAGUUUGCCACCAUUCCUGAAUGUCCCCAAAGGGCAGAUGUGUGAAAGGAGUUUAUUAUUUGCUCUUUGAUGUGUUCUUCCUUGCCAAUAUAAAUUCCGCCCUUAUAUCUCAAGAUGUCCCCUGAUGGUGUAUAAUGAGAUGUUUUAUCAAGAGCAAUGGCCAAUUGUUGCAGCAAAUGCUGACAGUGCUCAUCUUGCUCAUAACUGUUCUCCACAGCCUCAAUCUAGGAAGGUGUGAAGGUUGUGAUUGCCAUGAGUGUAUUAUCUUUUCUGCUCAAUGCAUCGCCCCUUUAUUUUCUUGCCCCUUCUUGUAUUCAAUGGAGUAAUUGAACUCCAACAGCUUGAGUAGGAGUUUGUGCUGCAGCCCUUCAGAAACUUUCUGCUCAGUGAUAAACUUAAGACUUUUCUGGUCAGUUUUUAUGACUAAUUCCAGUCCCUGAAAGUAGUGCCUCCACUUUUUAAGGGCUUCCAAUAUUGCCAAGGCUUCUUUUUCAUAAGUUGACAUAGCAGCAACUUUCAUGCCCAGUGUUUUGCUUAAAUAUGCUAUAGGUCUACCAUUUUGCAUCAGUACUGCACCUAUACCAUACCCACUAGCAUCAGUUUCCAGUACAAAUUUUUCUUUGAAGUUUGGUAGGGCCAGAACUGGGGCAGUGGUUCGUUUCUGUUUUAGCAAAUUGAAGGCUUCAGUUUGCUCCUCUGUCCAGUGGAAGGAGUUCUUCUUGAGGAUGUUGUGGAGUGGUCUGCAAAUGAGCCCAUAGUUGGGAACAAAUCUUCUAUAGUACCCAGCCAUGCCCAAGAAACUUCUCAGUUGAGUGAUUGUUUUUGGUAAGGGCCAAUCUCUCAUAGUGGAUACCUUGGUAGGAUCGGUGGCUACGCCAGCAUAAGAGAUAAUAUGGCCAAGGUAUUCCAGUUGGGGAGCAGCAAACACACAUUUGCUCAUUUUAGCAUAUGGUUGCUGUUCCCUCAAGAUUUGUAGCAAUAUCCUCAAGUGCCUAAUGUGGUCUUCCAGUGUCUUACUAUAGAUUAAGAUAUCAUCAAAGAAGACGAGGACAAAGUGCCUGAGGUGCUCCUUGAAAAUGAAAUUCAUCAAUGCUUGGAAUGUGGCCGGUGCAUUAGUAAGGCCAAAGGGCAUGACCAGGUACUCGAAAUGCCCCAAGAAUGUAGUGAAGGCAGUUUUGGGUAUGUCUUCCUUUUUCAUCCUUAUUUGGUAAUACCCAGAUCUGAGAUCUAUUUUUGUAAAAUAUUUGGCCCCAUGCAAUUCAUCCAACAAAUCUUCAAUGAUUGGUAUUGGAAAUUUGUUUUUGAUGGUUUGGUCAUUGAGUUUUCUGAAAUCUGUGCACAACCUCCAGGUGCCAUCUUUCUUUUUGACAAGCAAUGCAGGAGCUGCAUACGGACUGUCACUAGGCCUUAUGAUUGAAGCGUCUAGUAGUUGUUUGAUCUGUUUUUCCAUCUCUUCUUUUUGGUGAUGAGGCACCCUAUAAGGUCUGAGUGCUGGUGGCUCAGAUCCUGUUUUGAGAGGGAUUGCAUGGUCAAAACCUCUUUGAGGUGGAAGUUCCGUUGGUGUUUCAAACACAUCCUGGAAUUCUUGUAGUACUUCCUUCACAGAGUUUUCUAUUGGUGCCGUUUCUGUUUUAUCCUUGGCCUUCGGAAAUAGGAAAUAUCCUUCUGUUAUUUUAUUCUUACUGGCUAUCAAUUUGUGUAAGGAGAUUGGAGGGAUUCCCUUGGCAAAUGUCUUAUCUUGUAGAGUAAUUGUUUUCUCUCUCUUCCAGUUGAUUGUCAUCAGCCUCUCAUCAAAGUCUAAGGAUAUUGGGCUGUGCUCCAACAGCCAAUCACAACCCAAAAUAAUUUCAUACCCUUUCAGUGGGAGUAGUUUGAAACUGUUGGAGAACUCAUGGCCUUGUAUGGAGUAAUUUGCAGAAGGAAUGUGGGCUCCUGUCUGCAACUUACCCCCACCAGCAAUAUGGACUGUCUGCAAAUCAUUCCUAGCAAUAGUGCAUUUAGUUGUUGUUGCAAAGGAUAGAUCCAUAAAGGUGUUGGUGCUUCCUGAGUCCACCAGUGCUAGCCCCUUUUUUCCUCCAAUCUCCACCCACAUGGUGAAGGUAGCCGCCGUGCUUUUUCCUCUAACCGCUUGCAUGGAUAUCAGCAUGAGUUGCUCAUCAAUAUUUGGUGAAGUAGCUGGUUGUUCCUCGUCUUGCUGGUAGUUGCUGUUCUGCAUUUGUUCAUCUAGCUCUAAUUCUUCUUCUUCUGUGGCCAUCAGAUUGAGAGUUUUGUAUUGUGCACAUUUGUGUCCAAGAAACCACUUUUGUCCAUAGUACCUGCACUUCCCAGGUUCUCUGUAUUUUACUUCAGGCCUAGUACUCUGCCUAUCUGCUAUUCUGGUGUUAGCAUAGUCGAUUGGUUUUGGUUUAGUGGGUAAGGUAUUUGUGGCAGUGGUCUUUUGAUAGUACCCUGUUUGCUGGUAUUUUCUGGACUGGUUAGAAGCAUUUGGUCCAUGUUCCAUGUCUCUGGCAGUGUCUACUGCAUCAUAGAGAGUGGCUGGCUUGAAUGGCUUGAGGUAGUGUUUAAUUUCUUCUCUUAAACCAUUGAUGUAGCAUUUGACAUAAUACUGCUCUUUUACUUCAGGGUCUUCUUUCUUGUAGCAUGCCAUUUUGUCUUCAAAUCGGUCUGUGUACUCUGCUACAGUACUGGCCCCUUGUUUGAUUGAGUUGAAAUCAGCUACUGCUUCAUAAGAGCUGCUAUUAGCAAAUCGUUUGCACAGUACUUUGCAGAAUUCUUUCCAGGUGGGGUUUUCUUGGAGUAUGCCAGAGUUCCUCAACCAAGUGUCAGCUCUCCCAGUGAUAUACAUCUGAGCAUAGUCAAACUUUGCACUUUCUGGUACAAACACCAUUGCAAAGUAUUUCUCUGUGAGCCUUAACCACUCUUGUGGAUUGGAGCCAUCAAAUCUGGGAAACUCCAUCUUCGGUGCUUUUGCAAUGGAUUUGUAGAACUGAGCCUCUUUGUCAAAUUCUUGUUGUCUUUCUCCCCUGAAGGUACCGCCCCCUGCUCUAUCAUGAUAGCUCAUUGGAGGAGCUUGCUGCUGGUAAUGUUGCUAUUGGGGUUGACCAGCCGCAAGGUUUGGGUGUGGGCGUAUUGUGGUUGAAGUUGAGAGUGGGGAUACUGGCUAUUGGGCGCAUUAUAUUGCUGUUGGGGUGGUGGGUAAUGAUAGGGAAGUUGGUGUUGAUAGUUUGGUUGUGGUUGGUAAGUAGGUAGGAAGUUGUUGUUCUGUGGGGGAAAGGUAGGAUUGAAGUGGUUGUGUUGUGGGGGAGUUGAUUGUGUUGUGGGGGGUAAACAGGAGGUGGUGGAGGGUAAACUGGGGGUGGUCUAUAAAUGGGGUUGGUGAACUGGAUAGUGGGUUGGGUUUUGAGGAAUUGGUUUUGGUUAUAUUGUUGUGUCAUGGGUUGUUGAUAAUCCCAAUGGGGCUGUUGGCCAGUAGGGAUGGAAGUAUUGGCUCCUUCUUGGAAUAUGGGAAACUGUGGGUCUGUCCAUUGCUGGAAUUCCCUUCCAGAUGUUUCGAAAUACAUUUGCUCUGGAUCUACUUCAUUGGCUUCUCCCCUUGUGUAUUUAACUGGCUCCUGAGAUGGCCCACUUCUUCUUCUCCAGUGAGGAAUUUCAGUAUGCCAAAUCACAGCUUCCUCUUGACCAGGGAUGGGUUGGGUUUGGGGUCUCUGGCCGGUCUCAGCUUCUCUUCCUUGGUCACAGGUUGCUGGGGGAGUGCUUGGCCCAUGCUUCUCCUUCAGCAGGGAUUCCAUUCUCUUCAUGCUUUUGUUCAACGCUGCCACUUGCUCUUGCAUCCCUUCCACUUUGCUGUUGAUCUCAUCGGUUCUUGCACCCACGUUGUCUAACUCGAGCUUCAUGGCUGCCACUUCCUGGGCAUCUGCCUUCUCCUCCUGAGUCUUCGAUUUCGCCAUCAGGUCACAAGCAAGGUACGGAAUUUUACCUGGGCACUCGUCCCGAACCCUUCCUGCUCGUGGCCUGCUGCCGCCGCCUCUAGGUUGCGCCUCCAGAAGACGCACGGAUCUGCCUGGGUCGCGGGAUUUUACCACCGUAGCGUUGUGCUACAGCAACCGCACCCCCGCUAUAGACCUGCGUCCGAACUGGUCUAUCGCUGCCUAUGCCUCCCCGAGCUCCACGCCGCCGCCAAACUCCGCCGAAGACCGAUGGCUACUGAUACCAAUUGUCAGAUCCCACUGGAGAUCGACAAGGAAAAUGACUCCCGAUGUUGGAGCACCCGCUAUGAAUGGGGAAUUUUUGGUAGGAACCCUAGCUAAGCAGAUAAGAACGAGAUAAAAGUAGAGAUGAUAAUGUUUCAUUUCUUGUCCGAGCAAAGUGCUGGGUCACUUAUAUAGUCUUACAGAAUUACAGAGUUGGUGGCCUUCAGCCAUUGGAUCUAGGCUAGGGCUCUCAGCCGUUGGAUCUACAUAACUGGACCAAACGUUAUCUGCUAGACUGAUGAAUGGUUAAACUGAAGAAAUGUUCAGAUAGCAGGGUUGUGACAGACACAUUGUUUGUAUUCCAGCUCGAGGUAGCCGGGCACGUCGUCGUCAUCCCCCACAGCAUCAACAAUCUCCAAAGUUGAAAGUGUGCCCUGCAGGUCCCCCUUCUUCCUUUUCUUGACUCAUAUUUUCCCUUUUUCUUAAUAUUUACAUGUGUUUGUGCGGUUCAACUAAUAUAAUGUAAUUAAGG